rnacentral:rRNA from 1 species
UACGUAGGGUGCAAGCGUUAUCCGGAAUUACUGGGCUUAAAGGGCGCGUAGGCGGAUAAGUAAGUCAGUGGUGAAAUCUCCGGGCUUAACCCGGAAACUGCCAUUGAUACUAUUUGUCUUGAAUACUUUGGAGGUAAGCGGAAUAUGUCAUGUAGCGGUGAAAUGCUUAGAUAUGACAUAGAACACCGAUUGCGAAGGCAGCUUACUGCACAGUGAUUGACGCUGAGGCGCGAAAGCGUGGGGAUCAAACAGG